AUAUUUACCUGGUGGGGGAGAUAACAUGAUCACAAAGGUAGUUUUCCCAGGGUGAGGCUUAGCUAUUGUCCUCUGGAUGCACUGGCCCUGUGAUUUUCCCAAAUAUGGGAAACUUGACUGAAUAAUUUGUGGUAAGUGAGGGCCUACAUUCAUGCUCUUCCAUG